CCUACGGGAGGCAGCAGUGAGGAAUAUUGGUCAAUGGACGAGAGUCUGAACCAGCCAAGUAGCGUGAAGGAUGACUGCCCUAUGGGUUGUAAACUUCUUUUAUAAAGGAAUAAAACGAGGCACGUGUGCCUUUUUGCAUGUACUUUAUGAAUAAGGAUCGGCUAACUCCGUGCCAGCAGCCGCGGUAAUACGGAGGAUCCGAGCGUUAUCCGGAUUUAUUGGGUUUAAAGGGAGCGUAGAUGGGUUGUUAAGUCAGUUGUGAAAGUUUGCGGCUCAACCGUAAAAUUGCAAUUGAUACUGGCAGUCGUGAGUACAGUUGAGGUAAGCGGAAUUCGUGGUGUAGCGGUGAAAUGCUGAGAUAUCACGAAGAACCCCGAUUGCGAAGGCAGCUUACUAAACUGUGACUGACAUUGAUGCUCGAAAGUGUGGGUAUCAAACAGGAUUAGAUACCCCUGUAGUC
rnacentral:rRNA from 1 species